GAGAAGAAGUCUCAGUUGUUACACAAACAACUGCUGACUUGAAUGGAUACCUUUGAAAUUUGGAGAACAACCUAGCUAAUGACUAUAGAUAACCAUAUACAAGUAGCUCUCAGGACUCGGGUGCAUGUAUCUGUGAAGUCUGAAAGUGUAGGAGCAGAGAAGCUGCACUCACAUUUGGAUUUCCCUGGGGAGUGUAUUUGGAGUAAGCGAUAAAACCCUCUUUGUUCACUCUCUCUGCUACAGCAGAGUAGCGCAUCCAGCCCCUGGGCAAAGUUGGUGUCUUCCCCCUGUCUCAGGUCAGCUGGGGUGGGUCCCAAGAUAUUAGCCCUGGAGCACACCCUGAUGUGCAGGGUCUGGCACAGAGAAAUCAUCAGUCUGUGAGGAAAAGGCAUCCCCUUAUUCUCCCGUGGAGCUGCCUCUGCCCCCAGCAGCUGUGCUGUGAAAAUGGUACUUGAGAAGGCUUUAAGUGUCAGGGUGGGCAGGUCAGAUGCCUGGGCCUGCAGCACUUCCAUGAGACAACCAAAGCAUUUGACAUGAGUGUUAAAUCCAUCACCAGCCUGUGGAUAUCACAGCAGAAGGAGGGUGGAAACCUGGUGACUUGGAGGGAGCUGGACUGUGUAAAACAGCUUAAUAAAGGUCAGAAUUGACCUUUACCUGCAUAAGCACUGGGUAGUAUGGAAACUGUAACAGAAGAUAGAUCUUCCAAAAAGAACCAGUUUUUGUUUUUAAUUCAUGAAAAAAGAGAAGGGGAGAUAAAAAGAAAAGGGUCAGUGGGAGAAAAUCAGGAGACAUGACAAGGGAGGGUUUUUCCAAGCUACAGGAGAAGUAUGCACAGUGUGUAUGGGAUGGGGCAUGCACAUGGGGCACAGGUACUGCAACAGGAAAAAACAUUCCCCUGGCCAGGAGCUGGGAAUGUGAACGGGCAUACUGACAGGCAACUGAAGAGGUGCCAAAGCUUAUUUUCCCCUUUAAGAUGACUGCAACAUCAUCCGUUACACUCUGAUUUCCCAUUCCAGUGUUUGCCUCUGUUUGUUUUCCCUUUUUGCUUGCCAAGUCUAUAGCGGCAUUUUAUACAACACUGAUCUCUACCAGGGAAACUCAGAGAAGAACCUUGCACAGAGCUCAAGCUCUGCCUUGCUGAGAGGAGCCAGGCUGAAGCCUGGGUCUCUCAGCCCAGGAGAGUCUCCUUUCACAACAAAAACAUAACAUUCACAGUGCAUGGGAAAUGGUAACCCAGAUAUUUCACGAGCUGCUUGAAAUAUUUGGGGAUUUCAUAAAAUGACUGGAUAAAAAACAAGCUGGAAGACCAGUCAGUCCCCUGAAAGCCUGUUACUUUUACCACUAACUGAAUGACUGAAAAAUGACCGCAAAAUUAAUGAAAAUUGUAGUAAUUUUUCAAAAUGACUGAUUUCGUAUUCAACAAAUCCAGAUAUGCCAAAUAUAGAAAAUUGCACUGGGACCAUUUCUGCAAAGGUGAGCUUCGUGAAACAUGACUUAUUGAUGUAGUAUAUCCAAUUAAACAGUGAAUUAGACUGAAAUAAUAGCUGAAAGUAACAAAUAUGCAGAGAGCACAACAGUGUCUUCAUAGCUUAACAUACCUCUAUGUUCGACCUCACACUUUGAAGGAGUUGUCUUCCUAUACUAGGUCUACUACUUCAUAGUGAUCUGUGGCAGUAGUGUCCUGAAAUUCACCUUAAUGUACUGUCAAGCCUGAGAAGGUAGGGAAGAGUCCAAAACUGCAGAGAGUGGGGAACAAAGGUGUCUCUGGUAUGUGACAUUCUGCUUUAUCACAUGAAAAAAUACAAAACACAAAAUUGAAAAAAAAAAAAAUCCAAAACCUACUUUUAUCUGUAUCUUUUGAGGAAGAAGAGAAACCCACUCUCAGCUGGCCUUCACCUCAGUGAGGAUGCACAGGAAGAAGUGUCUGUGUUCCCUCUGUUCUGCUUCCUAAAAAUUCUGCAAGCUCUUCCCUUGCCCAACUUUACUACCCUUUUGUCUCCAACCCUCCUGGCUCAGCGUCCAGGUGAGAUAAAAUGUUUAUCUGAUGAUAGCAAUUCGUGUGGCUACACCAUUUCACAACACACAGAAGCUUGUCUGCUGUUCACCAUGGGUCAGACAGAUUGCGUUGUGUCAUGAGCUUGCUUGUUAUUGCAACGGAUAAGAAAAAGCCAACAAAUACUAAGAAUAUGAUUAAAGAAGGGACUUACAAAGUAUUACUACAGGAAGUACUUAGGUAAAUAUUGAAGUAAAACUGAGGACUCCUGCUUACGUCCUGUCAAAUCCUGAAAGUACCUAAGCUCCUGACAGUCUCGUUAGUCUAGUUUUCUAAUGAAACCAGUCUGGAAGGUUUCACUCUCUGUCUGCCUUUUCAUGAUGGCCAUUUGUCUUCAUAUUCUUGGUAGGAAGGUCAGUUAGGGCUCUUGAAGCCUGGCUUUGAAUCUUUACAAUGGUAUUCUGGAAGAGUGGCAACUUUAUUAUUAAGCAAUAUUGUUUUAUUAUUAUAUUUAUAGUGCUAUGUAUGUAAGUAUGUGUGUUUCUUAUAAAUAUAUACAUACAUGCAAAGUACACUAUAUAUUUGUAUAUGUAUUUAGCAUACGCACACCUUUAAAUAUAAACUUGUGUUGCCUUUUUUUUUGUUUGUUUUUGUUUCUGUUUAAAUAUGAGAAGCUAUUAAUCACAUAAUUCCAGACUCUGAAUGCUGUUGUGACUUUAAUAUCAGAGUUAACUACAAAAAUGUGCAAAGUGCAUUAUGAAUUUUCCCAGACAGAUUAGGUACAUACAUAAGUUUUAUAAACCUAGUCUUAGCCUUCUUUUUCAAAUCUCCUUUUCUAGAAACUCCAUUAAGCAUGAAGAACAAUAGCAUGAUUAUAACUGCCAUAACACAGAGCUGAGUGAUAUCCUGGAGUCAUGUUGUUGCUCUGAGUGAGUUCUAGAGCAGAAUAAUUUGAUGCAGAAACUUAGGGUCAAAUUUUGUCAGGGGAUUAGAAAGAUGCCUCUAAAUACAUUCACUCAUCUGCCACAAAGCUGAUUGUAUGGUAUGAUUACAAAUAUAUAUAUAUAUUUUAUCCCCAAGUCUGACAGAUUCUGUGCUCUACCAGAGAACUGAAACUACCCGCAAGGGAGAGCUAUGAGGUAUGUGGAAAAGCAAAGGUUUAGAUUUAGGUUUGUCAGGUGGCAAGAAUGACUUUUCCAUAUAACCUCCUUUAGGGCAAAAGCCCUGAAGAUCUAAUUUUCUGAGGUCCUCUGGAAGGGUAAAUGUGGUCAUGCUGACAUUAACAUUGUGGCUUGGAGUAGUAAAGUAUUGCUGUCCAAAUCUCCUGGUUGUCCCCCUUACUGCAAUUGGAUUGGUUUUGCAGUGUGGUAGACCAGGAACAAAAGAGGAGGCUUUGAUUUAUUGAGCCUUUCUUAUUGCACAGAAUUACUAGCUAAUAUAAAUACAACUUAUAAAGCCCUGUAAAGUUCCUCCUGUACACACUGACAUUGCAUUGACCUAUUUAAGAAAAUACCCACCCCAGAUACACUGGAAAAUGAUGAAGCUUUGCUUUAAAAAAUAGCUUAUUUGCAAAGGGUGUGGGUAACUCUGAGAUAACUGUUGUUUGAAAGGAACUGCAACCUGUCAUGCAUAACUUUAUACUUAUAAUUUUAAUGCUCUUUUGCUGUUCCUGUACUUCUCAAUUCUUUGUGACCUAGUAAGCUAUGUCUACACUGUUGGACAGAGACACACAGACAGGUUGUAAAUGCAUGGCUAGUCUGCUCAGAAGCCUGAUAAACCAGACUGCCUGAACUCUGUGCUACCAUUAGUGCUUUUUGGUUGUUUUGUAGGUUAAAGAACCAGAACCUUAAUGCAAAGCUCAUUCCAAAGUCUUGUGACUGCCCCAGUGCCUCUGCCAUCAGUGCAAGACCAUACAGAGUUCAGGGAUUGUUCUCAGGUUUUGGUCCUAAAUGGAGCAGAACUGAUCCUCUGAGGGAAAAACUGAAAAAUAACAGCAGACAUGACAUUGCAGCAGCAGCAGUCGAAGAUUUCAUUAUUUGUGUGCAAUUAAAUGGUGGAAUGUUUACCACAGGGGAGAAAAAAAAAAAAAA